rnacentral:tRNA from 1 species
GGAUCUUUAGCUCAGUUGGUUAGAGCACGCGGCUCAUAACCGCACGGUCCUGGGUUCGAUUCCCCGAAGAUCCACCA